CAGGAGUCAGACUGCUCUCUGCUGGACUGGAGGAUCCACACUGCAGACUGGAGAAACUCAAUGUGGAACAUGGUGGAGAGAACAGAAUGAAACCUGGGCUUAGAAAAUGUGAGUGUUGACUGCUGUGAAGAAUAUGACUAAGAAUAAGUCUUAAUUCAAGUUAAGUCAAAGUCAAAGACCAACAUCAUUACUUACUUGGUCAUAUUAAAUAUCAGCUGUAGUUCUACAGAAGCAGAAAUCAGGGACACCAAAGUUUAC